rnacentral:sRNA from 1 species
CUGGGGGAAUCGGAAAAAGGAUCCCGGACUUGGAAGAAGUGUCAGCCGCAGAGCUGAGCGAGACAGCCAACGAAGUAGAGAAGAGAUCUGUGCCUAGUGCGAAAAGUGCAAAGGAAGCAGUAAAGUCGACGUAAAGUAGUCCAUGACGUCAUUGGUCGAGCGACGUCAUAAGCAGGCAAGAGUAAACAGAAACGCUCGACAUAAGGAAGAAGCAAACGAGAAAGGCGGAUAUUCCAGACGAGAAAUGAAAAUUAUUUCACGAGAAUGGGUGAUGAUGAAUCAGAGACUAAAUUGAACCUCUUUUUGUUGUGUUAUGUUAAGUUUUUGAGAAAUAUUUCAAUAGCAAUGUCACUUCCAUCUCUCUUUGAUGAAAUCCGUGUAAAUACGUUUUUUGUUUGUUUUCGAUUUGGUUUUUAUCACCUUGAAUAAUGUAUUCAAACGUUAUCAACUCAUUGUUUGUAAAUCGAUAUCGUUGUUCUCCUUCAGUCUCAGUAACAUGUGUACCAUUUUAAUAGCACACCAUUUUGCACAUCUUCAUUUUACUUUUGAUUUUGUAACAACUUGUAACAACAAAUGAAAUUUUUCAAAACAGCAUCCAUCGUUUCAUGAAUCUCUUGUAGUACCAUCCUUUGAAUUUAAUUCUAAAUGAGAUCUAACAUUAUUUCAGCUAUGAAUUUAUUUUGGACCCGAAGGAAACAUUUCUAAUUU